rnacentral:rRNA from 1 species
UACGUAGGGUGCGAGCGUUGUCCGGAAUUAUUGGGCGUAAAGGGCUCGUAGGCGGUUUGUCGCGUCGGGAGUGAAAUCCACUGGCUUAACUGGUGGCUUGCUUUCGAUACGGGCAGACUGGAGGUAUGCAGGGGAGAACGGAAUUCCUGGUGUAGCGGUGAAAUGCGCAGAUAUCAGGAGGAACACCGGUGGCGAAGGCGGUUCUCUGGGCAUGUCCUGACGCUGAGGAGCGAAAGUGGUGGGGAGACGAAGCAGG